rnacentral:rRNA from 1 species
CCUACGGGGGGCUGCAGUGAGGAAUAUUGGUCAAUGGGCGGGAGCCUGAACCAGCCAAGCCGCGUGAGGGAAGAAGGUACAGCGUAUCGUAAACCUCUUUUGUCAGGGAACAAAGGCGGGGACGAGUCCCUGGAUGAGGGUACCUGAAGAAAAAGCAUCGGCUAACUCCGUGCCAGCAGCCGCGGUAAUACGGAGGAUUCGAGCUUUAUCGGGAUUUAUUGGGUUUAAAGGGUGCGCAGGCGGCCUGUUAAGUCAGCGGUAAAAGCCCGGGGCUCAACCCCGGCGAGCCGUUGAAACUGGCGGGCUGGAGUUGGAGAGAAGUACGCGGAAUGCGCGGUGUAGCGGUGAAAUGCUUAGAUAUCGCGCAGAACCCCGAUUGCGAAGGCAGCGUACCGGCUCCACACUGACGCUGAGGCACGAAAGCGUGGGUAGCGAACAGGAUUAGAUACCCCAGUAGUC